rnacentral:rRNA from 1 species
UACGUAGGGGGCGAGCGUUGUCCGGAAUUACUGGGCGUAAAGGGCGCCUAGGCGGUUUUUAAGUUCCGCUGUGAAAGACCGAGGCUCAACCUCGGGAUGUCAGCGGAGACUGGAAGACUGGAGUGUCGGAGAGGAGUGCGGAAUUCCUGGUGUAGCGGUGGAAUGCGUAGAUAUCAGGAGGAACACCGAUGGCGAAGGCAGCACUCUGGCCGAAGACUGACGCUGAAGCGCGAAGCUGGGGGAGCGAACGGG